AGGUAACGGCUCACCAAGGCCACGAUGCGUAGCCGACCUGAGAGGGUGAUCGGCCACAUUGGAACUGAGACACGGUCCAGACUCCUACGGGAGGCAGCAGUGGGGAAUAUUGCACAAUGGGCGAAAGCCUGAUGCAGCAACGCCGCGUGGGUGAUGAAGGCUUUCGAGUCGUAAAGCUCUUUGAUCAGGGAUGAUGAUGACAGUACCUGAAAAACAAGCCACGGCUAACUACGUGCCAGCAGCCGCGGUAAUACGUAGGUGGCGAGCGUUGUCCGGAAUUACUGGGCGUAAAGGAUGCGUAGGUGGAUAUUUAAGUGGGAUGUGAAAUCCCCGGGCUCAACCCGGGAACUGCAUUCCAAACUGGAUAUCUAGAGUGCAGGAGAGGAAAGCGGAAUUCCUAGUGUAGCGGUGAAAUGCGUAGAUAUUAGGAGGAACACCAGUGGCGAAGGCGGCUUUCUGGACUGUAACUGACACUGAGGCAUGAAAGCGUGGGUAGCAAACAGGAUUAGAUACCCUGGUAGUCCACGCCGUAAACGAUGGGUACUAGGUGUAGGAGGUAUCGACCCCUUCUGUGCCGUCGUUAACACAAUAAGUACCCCGCCUGGGGAGUACGGUCGCAAGACUAAACUCAAAGGAAUUGACGGGGGCCCGCACAAGCAGCGGAGCAUGUGGUUUAAUUUCGAAGCAACGCGAAGACCUUACCUAGACUUGACAUCCUCCUGAAUUACUCUUAAUCGAGGAAGCCCUUCGGGGCAGAAGAACAGGUGGUGCAUGGUUGUCGUCAGCUCGUGUCGUGAGAAUUUUGGUAAGU
rnacentral:rRNA from 1 species